AUAAGGAGUGCCUCUGGGUUGGUGAACACAUCAGAUGCUGGGCAGGUGGUGUGUUGCCUCCCUCCAUACCAUGCAUCUCUUCCCUUUGGCUGAUCCUGAGGUGUAUCCCUUAGAAAUAAGCUGGUAAAUAGCACGGACCAUGGAAGCAUCUUUUGGCAGCACCAGAGAACUGAGCAUCUCAAAGCAUGAGUUCUUCUGUUUCUUCUGCGUGGGUUGACCAUGGGCAUCAGGCAUCAGAGAUACAACUCUGGAUCUUGUCCAUCCAUUGCUGGGCACUCUGUCCAUCCUGGGCGCAGAAGUUAUACACACGUUUGCUGGUCUUGAGCUACAAAACCAAAUGACAGUGAACCAGAGAUGAAGGGCAGGGCUGUUUUAUGGAUUUGGGAGUCUACUGCUAAGAUUUCAGCAUGUCCUGUGGCUGAGUUAAUCAGAGUUAUGACAGGAAGGUACCGGGCACACCAUCGCAAUGCUCCAUCAAUGCUAGUAUGUUGUGUUCUUUCCUUCAUAUCAAGUCAACUCAAGCUUGCUCUACUUACCUGGUGUACACAGUCUAAGAACUGUAAGAAGACUGGAGCAAAACCACUCCCCUGACAGUUGAGGGUCAAGCUGCUCCUCUGACUGAAUUUGUGACCAAAAGAGAGCCACUCUUUUUCAACCAACAUCUGGAAGCCUUCAAGUGUCCUAUAAAAGGGAUCACUGAGUAACUGAACCAGGGAUGUCACCUAGGGCAUAAGCAGGAUGGAUUGUCAUUAAUUUUAGUUCUGAAAAAGGCCUAUUACUAAGAUAAAAGCACUUCCUUCUGAUGAUAGCUAAUUCACAAAUUUACCUGGACAGCAAAUUUGUUCACUAACCAUUCCAGGAUGGCCAAUAAAAUUAAUUUUGUAAACUUGCCAGUAAAAACUAAAGCUCAAAUUCAUUUUGGCUACAAGUUUACUUUCAGGGAAUUGAGACUUUAAUCCUUAACUGGCCAGUUUGCUGACAGCAACCUUUUCCUAAGUUAAUCAGAGGCCAGAGGAUCAGUUAAAAUCAAUUCUACUUUUUGGCAGAUGCAGAUUAAUGUCUUAAUGUAGUCUGAACUCACACUUUUCACUCUGGAGUGAGUUAAGGCGGGGCUUAUAGAGAGCCAGGGGAUGGACUGACAAAACCCAGGAAGGAUGGUCCACGCCUCACACUGCUGGUCAAGGGCUCCAUCCGCAAGCCUGCAUGGUAC
rnacentral:lncRNA from 1 species